AACGAACGCUGGCGGCGUGCCUAACACAUGCAAGUCGAGGGAGAAAGCCGCAAGGCGAGUAAACCGGCGAACGGGUGUGUAACACGUGGACAACCUACCUUGGUGACUGGGAUAACUAGCCGAAAGGCUGACUAAUACCAGAUAAGCCCACGAGGACGAAGGUCCUUGAGGGAAAAGGCGGCCUCUGUAAACAAGCUGUCACACCGAGAUGGGUCCGCGGUCCAUCAGCUCGUUGGCGGGGUAACGGCCCACCAAGGCAAAGACGGGUAGCUGGUCUGAGAGGAUGAUCAGCCACACUGGAACUGAGACACGGUCCAAACUCCUACGGGAGGCAGCAGUGGGGAAUCUUGCGCAAUGGGCGAAAGCCUGACGCAGCAACGCCGCGUGUGUGAUGAAGGUCUUCGGAUCGUAAAGCACUGUCGCGAGGGAAGACGAGGCUCCUACGAACAGGAGGAGCAAGAGACGGUACCUCGAGAGGAAGCACCGGCUAACUCUGUGCCAGCAGCCGCGGUAACAC
rnacentral:rRNA from 1 species